rnacentral:rRNA from 1 species
UACGGAGGGUGCUAGCGUUGUUCGGAAUUACUGGGCGUAAAGCGCGUGUAGGCGGCCGAUUAAGUCUGGUGUGAAAGCCCGGGGCUCACCCCCGGAAGUGCGCUGGAAACUGGUCGGCUAGAGUAUGGGAGAGGAAAGUGGAAUUCCCGGUGUAGCGGUGAAAUGCGUAGAUAUCAGGAGGAACACCGGUGGUGUAGACGGCUUUCUGGACAAUCACUGACGCUGAGGUACGAAAGCGUGGGUAGCAAACAGG